rnacentral:rRNA from 1 species
GAUGAACGCUAGCGACAGGCUUAACACAUGCAAGUCGAGGGGCAGCAUAGAAGUAGCAAUACGUUGGUGGGGACCGGCGCACGGGGGAGUAACGCGUAUGCAACCCACCUAUCAGAGGGGGAUAACCCGGAGAAAGGCGGACUAAUACCGCAUAAAACAGGGGCACAGCAUGGUGACAUUUGUCAAAGUUUAAUUGCUGAUAGAUGGGCAGGCGUUCCAUGAGGUAAUUGGUGAGGUAAUGGCUCACCAAGCCGACGAUGGAUAGGGGAGCUGAGAGGUUGGUCCCCCACACUGGUACAGAGACACGGACCAGACUCCUACGGGAGGCAGCAGUGAGGAAUAUUGGUCAAUGGGCGAGAGCCUGAACCAGCCAAGUCGCGUGAAGGAAGAAGGAUCUAUGGUUCGUAAACUUCUUUUGCAGGGGAAUAAAGUGGAGGACGUGUCCUCUUUCGUAUGUACCCUGAGAAUAAGGAUCGGCUAACUCCGUGCCAGCCGCCGCGGUAAGAC